AUCCAGACUCCUACGGGAGGCAGCAGUGGGGAAUAUUGCACAAUGGGGGAAACCCUGAUGCAGCGACGCCGCGUGAGCGAAGAAGUACCUCGGUAUGUAAAGCUCUAUCAGCAGGGAAGAAGAUGACGGUACCUGACCAAGAAGCUCCGGCUAAAUACGUGCCAGCAGCCGCGGUAAUACGUAUGGAGCAAGCGUUAUCCGGAUUUACUGGGUGUAAAGGGAGCGUAGACGGCGUCGCAAGUCUGAAGUGAAAGCCCGUGGCUCAACCGCGGAACCGCUUUGGAAACUGCGAGGCUGGAGUGCUGGAGAGGUAAGCGGAAUUCCUGGUGUAGCGGUGAAAUGCGUAGAUAUCAGGAGGAACACCGGUGGCGAAGGCGGCUUACUGGACAGUGACUGACGUUGAGGCUCGAAAGCGUGGGGAGCGAACAGGAUUAGAUACCCCGGUACAA
rnacentral:rRNA from 1 species